GACGAACGCUGGCGGCGUGCCUAAUACAUGCAAGUCGAACGCAGUGGGGACGGGUGAGUCACACGUGGGUAACCUCCCAUCAGACGGGAUAACACUUGGAAACAGGUGCUAAACCGAUACUGAUGGAUGGACUCGCUGUGCUUGAGCUAGUUGGUGGGGUAAAGGCUCACCAAGGCCACGAUGCAUAGCCUGCAUGAGAGGGUGAUCGGCCACACUGGAACUGAGAGACGGCCCAGACUCCUACGGGAGGCAGCAGUGGGGAAUCUGCGACAAUGGACGAAAGGCUGACCGAGCAACGCCGAGUGAGUGAAGAAGGUUUUCGGAUCGGAAAGCUCUGUUGUUAGGGAAGCGGUAUCUGAAGAAGAAGCCACGGCUAACUACGUGCCAGCAGCCGCGGUAAUAC
rnacentral:rRNA from 1 species